UACCAGAUACUAGAUAUUAUGUGCUCUCUCUCUCUCUCUCUACAAAGUCCAAAGUGUGGAAAGUAUAAACCUUCUCAUUCUCUAAGCUUUAAAGCUCCUCUUUCUAAAUAUAGCUGCUCUUUUUUCUCUCUCUGUCACUUUUUCUCUCUCUCUGCAGAAAUACAAUAUUGAUCCUUUUUGCUGGAUGGUAAUUAGAUUGUUUGAUGGAGUUAUUGUGGCACACAAUCUUGAUGUUUUAGAUGAUGGGUGUGUGGGGAAUUCUUCACUAGGGCAUGAAAGUCUUCAAAGGGCUUUGCUUUGAGGCCCUCUACAGCUCCACCAUUGUUGAUCAGAGAGCGGGAAGAUGGACAGGACCAGAUUAGAUUUAAGAUUUCAUCAUCACUCUGGAUCAACACAGUCUGAGGAGUCUGCUUUAGACUUGGAAAGGAAUUACUGCAGUCAUCAUCCUAAUCUACCUUCAUUUAGUCCAUCGGCCCUCCAGCCUUUUGCAUCUAAUGGUCAGCACUCUGAGAGCAAUGCUGCCUACUUCUCAUGGCCUACAUUGGGUCGAUUAAGUGAUGCAGCAGAAGAUAGAGCAAACUAUUUUGGAAAUCUUCAGAAGGAAGAUCUUCCUGAAACUUUGGGCAGGUUGCCAUCAGGGCAGCAGGCUACAACCUUACUUGAGCUGAUGACCAUCAGGGCAUUCCAUAGCAAGAUAUUGCGGCUUUUUAGUCUUGGCACAGCAAUUGGGUUUCGGAUUCGAAAGGGUGUCUUAACAGACAUUCCGGCCAUUCUUGUCUUUGUUGCCCGUAAAGCUCACAGGGAAUGGCUCAGCCAUGUGCAGUGUCUACCCGCUGCCCUUGAGGGGCCAGGAGGUGUAUGGUGUGAUGUGGAUGUUGUUGAAUUUUCCUAUUAUGGCUCCCCGGUUUCAACUCCUAAAGAACAGCUGUACACAGAGCUCGCAGAUGGCUUGAGGGGAAGCAUACAUUGGUUCUGGUUCCCAGGUUGCUAGCCAGGAUACGUAUGGAACUUUGGGUGCUAUUGUUAAAAGCCGAACAGGAAAUCGACAGGUUGGUUUUCUCACAAAUCGGCAUGUGGCAGUUGAUUUGGACUAUCCAAACCAGAAAAUGUUUCAUCCAUUGCCACCAAGCCUUGGACCUGGGGUGUAUCUUGGCGCUGUGGAGAGGGCAACAUCUUUUAUCACAGAUGAUCUUUGGUACGGUAUAUUUGCUGGAACAAACCCAGAAACAUUUGUGCGAGCUGAUGGUGCCUUCAUUCCUUUUGCCGAAGAUUUCAACUUGAAAAAUGUAAUUACAACUGUAAGAGGCAUAGGUGAGAUUGGUGAUGUCUACACCAUAGACUUGCAGUCUCCAAUCAACAGUCUUAUCGGAAGGCAAGUGAUGAAAGUUGGGAGAAGUUCAGGCUUGACGACUGGGACCAUCAUGGCGUAUGCCCUAGAAUACAAUGAUGAAAAAGGGAUAUGUUUCUUUACUGAUUUUCUUGUUGUUGGAGAGAAUCAGCAGAGUUUUGAUCUUGAAGGCGAUAGUGGAAGCCUCAUUCUAUUGACUGGUCAGAAUGGGGAGAAGCCACGACCGGUUGGGAUCAUUUGGGGCGGGACCGCUAACCGUGGUCGCUUGAAACUAAAAAUUGGCCAACCACCGGAAAAUUGGACUAGUGGAGUUGAUCUUGGACGCCUUCUUCAACUCCUUGAACUUGACCUGAUAACAACCAAGGAAGGGUUUCAAGCUGCUAUCCAAGAGCAACGAAAUGCUGCUGCGGGGAUUGGUUCCACAGUUGGGGAGUCAUCCCCAGCUGUUCGGCCCCCUUGUAAAGAUAAGCUAGAAGAUAACUUUGAACCUUUGGGUUUCAAUCUUCAGAAAAUUCCAAUUGAAGGUGAGUCCUGUCAGGGACUGAUUCGACCAUUCAUGCGCGGUGACUUUCACAUAGAAAAUUGUGUUGAAACUGCUCCAAAUAUAGAACACCAAUUCAUUCCCAGUGCCACCAGCAGAUCUCCAGGAAAUCAAAACAAUCAAGAGGGAAAUCCGGUACCAAAAAACCUUUUGCCAUUGCAGAGUAGCUUGGAUGAAGAGAUAUCUGUUUCGUUGCAGUUAGGUGAGCCUGAACCGAAGAGAAGAAAAAACUGCUACUCUCUCUUUAGCAGUAAAGGACCCAUAUGAAGUAGGAAUGAGUAAACUGUAUUUCUUGGAGUAACCGUCGUGCGAGGGGUUGCUUCAAAGCGAGGACUUUAAAUUCUCAGUUCACUUUAUUCCAGAUUGCAACUGCAGUGAACUUCAUUCAUCAGUUGCUAUAUUCCUCCUGGGAAUGUUUUGGUAAGGGCAAAAAGUAUAGGUCAUAUAUGUGGAGCAUACAAUGUUUUAGAGAGAUGUUUAGGCAUUACCUGUGCUCGAUUUUACUUUUGAUUUGUACCGCUUUAGUGAAUAUCCUUAUUCCUUAUAGCAUUAGCACCCCGAAGUGGGAGUAUAAGCAGCUAUUGUAAUCCGAACGACAUAAUGUAAAAUGUUGCGUUCGGGUAGCGAGGUUAGUUUGUUCAGAGCCGAAUUGAUCGAAGGUCUCUUUUUGAUGGUUGAAAGAGGAGGGAGCAUGAUGGACUACACCAUUUGUAUCUUCAUAAGUGAUAAGUCUAGUAGUAGUCUAUAAGGGAACUCACAUUGUGGCUAUAUUUGUAAAUGCGGCUACCAUUGAGACAUUGUCUUCAAUAUCUUUUUGUUUGGCGUGUCCUUUUUAUUCAAGUUUCUUUACAUGCCAUGGAAAUUUAAAAUCCUUUUGA